rnacentral:rRNA from 1 species
GACGAACGCUGGCGGCGUGCCUAAUACAUGCAAGUAGAACGCACGGAUUAUACCGUAGCUUGCUACACCAUAGACUGUGAGUUGCGAACGGCUGAUUAACGCGUAGGUAACCUGCCUGGGAGCGGGGGGUAACUAUUGGGAACGAUAGCUAAUAUCGCAUGAUAUUCAUUAUUCCAUGAUAAUUAAUUGAAAUGUGCAAUUUCACCACUACCACAUGGACCUGCGUUGUAUUAGAUAGUAGGUGAGGUAACGGCCCACCUAGGGGACGGUACAGAGCCGAACCUGGAGGGGGGUCCGGCCACAUGGGAACGGGACACGGCCCCGAAUCCUACGGGAGGCAGCCGUAAGGAAUCUUCGGCAAUAGACGAAAGUCCGGACGGGCCAAGCCGCGUGAGUGAAGAAGGUUUUCGGAUCGUAAAGCUCUGUUGUAAGGGAAGAACGGGUGUGGGAGUGGAAAGUUCACACUGUGACGGUAUCUUACCAGAAAGGGACGGCUAACUACGUG